rfam:Asian citrus Psyllid, Diaphorina citri - Florida Strain, whole genome shotgun sequence.
AGAAACGGGCAGCACGUUGAAUGUACCAGCUCCCCAUGAAUCACUGAAGUUAAGCAAUGUUGCCCUUGGUUGGCAACCGGAUGGGUGACCAUCUGGGAGAUUGCGUGCUGGCUUUUU